rnacentral:ncRNA from 1 species
GAGAAAUGAUUUUGUGGCCAAACGUUUAUAACGACGUUGCUUUUUGAUCUUUUGAUGUUGGAUCUUCUUACCAUUGUGAAGCAGAAUUCACAAAGUGUUGGAUUAUUCACCCACUAAUAGUAAACGUGAUCUGGGUUUAGACCGUCGUAAGACAGGUU